CAAAAAGUAGUAUACAAAAUACAGUCCGCUUACACCGGACAAAAGGUCCAGGCCCUUUUUGA
rnacentral:tRNA from 1 species